CGUGAAGCCGGAGUUGAGCGAGGCCCGGGCUAUCCGGCGCCAGAGCAGGUCGCAGCUGGUGAAGCGCCGCAGCCAGCGGCACACCUGCGCCAGGCGGCCGAGGGCCUGCAUGUCCAGACGGUGUCUUCAGGCUUAGGAAAAAGCAGUUCCCUCCCAGCAGCAUGAGGAUACAAGGAGCUUCAGUUGCCAGUAGCAAAUGCAACAUGAUUGUAACAGGUCCCCAUGGCCCUUGGCACUUAGAAAGGCCCAGAAGCUGGGGAACCCGUUUGGAUUCUCUGAGAAACUCCUCUGCUUGACCACUACGGCCCCAACUCAGGCUCAGCUGCCACGGAUCACACAGAAAACCUCAAUCUCCCACUUCCUGGCCAAGAAUUUUCUGAAGUUUGCCCCAUCCCCAGGCAGGGAUUUUCAUUCCACAGUUGGCCAGUUGGACUUGGAAUCAACGAGGAUGAAAAAGGACUACACCUUUUCCAUUUUCAAAGCAGCCUGGAGGGAUUUUGUUUUUUUCCAACAGGGUAACUCCAAAUUGGCAUGACUUUCAAAGCUACAAAUUUCCAUGUCCCCAGCCCUCACCAAAGAAAAAUUUCCUGGUUAGGUUAGCAUGUGUGGAGGUUUGGGGUGUGCAAGUGAGAAACCUUUAAGAAAUAGUUAAACCUGAGCUAUGGAUCAACUUAGUCUAAACAAGAUUCUCCCCCAACCCCACGCUGUACUAGUUACCCUCCUUAAUUCCUAUCCCAGAAAGUUAUAUUCAAAAAUAACUACCAUGCAUCAGCCACCCAGGAACUACCAGGAACUGAACUAAGUGUUUUAUUUACUUAUAUUGCCUCAUUUUAUCUUCACAACUAUGCAAGAUAGGAAUUAUUUUUUGCUUCCUCUCUGAAGAGCAGAAAAGUAUUUUCCCCAAAGUCAUGCAAUUCGGAGGUGGGAGAGCUAGAGUUCAAAUCUCCUCCCCCACACAACAAUAUGGAAGAAUCUCAGAGUCACCACACGGAGUGGAAGAAGCCAGGCAAAAAGAGCAUUUACUGUCUGAUUCCACGUGUAUACAGUUACCGAAAAUGCAAACUAAUCUAAGGCUAUGCAGUCUUAAGCAAGUUACCGAGCUUUUCUGAACCUCAGCUGCUUCAUCUGUAAAAGGGAAAUAUCAUAUCUUUCUGAAGAGAUUAUUGUGCAGACUCAAGGAGAUAAGAAUAUAUGUAAGAGUCCCAGCAGAGGACCCGGCACAUAACAGAGGCUCACUCUUAGUGACUAUUACAUUUUCACAGAAAAGCAAGAGGCAAGAUAGAAAUACCACAGCUUCCAGCAUCAGUUUCUUUAGCAGCACCAGGAUAACACCGAAAACUUAACAAAAGAGGAGGAAGAGGAGAAAUUUUAAAACUCAAGCUGGGCUCGGCCCCAUCAAAAAGCGCGCGCCAGAUCUCAAAGGACUGGCCCGUGAGACUGGAAAGCGCUUGCGCAGUAGCGGGCAGUGGAACCAGGAAAUCAUUGGCUGAGAGGCCCAACCAAUCAGAAGGCACUCAGAUCCUGUGUUUGAUCUUAAACAUUGUGGACUAAGACGGGCAGGCUUUUCUCUUCAUUCUUGAGUUUUCACUGGGGCCCUGGGGCUCAAUCUCUUGAAGAAAAGUUGUUGGAGGAAGAGGGCAUACCAGAAAAGAAGGAGCAAUGGAAUAUUAUUCAGCAAUAAAAAGGAAUGAAGAACUGUUACAUGCUACAACGGGGAUGAACCUUGAAGACAUUAUGCUAAGUGAAAGAAGCCAGGGACAGAAGAUCAUGUAUUGUAUGAUUCCCUUUAUAUGAGAUGUCAAGCACAGACAAAUUCUUAGAGCCAGAAAUAGAUUAGUGGUUGCCUAGGGCUGAGGGAGGAUGUGGGGAAUGAGGGUGACUGCUAAAGUGUAUGGAGUUUCUUUUGGGGUGAUGAAAAUGUUCUAAAAUUGAUUGUGGUGAUGGUGCAUAACAUAGUAUACUAAAAACCAUUGAAUUGUACACAUUAAAUGGAUAGAUUGCAUGGGAUGUGAAUUAUAUCUGAAUAAAACUGUUACCAAAAAGAAAAGAAAGAAAGAAAGAAAGGAGAGAGCAAGGAAGUAGAGGUGGAAAGUGUUGUAUCUAAUUUAGGAGGCAUGGGAUGGAUCGGUCUGGCUAGCAUUUGAGGAAGCAGCUAGGAAUAAAGUUGAGGCCAAAUUACGAAGGGCCUAGAACUUCAUGUCAAAGAGUUUGGGCUUGAUUUCUAACUCUGAGCUGUCAAGUAUAGUAGCCACUAGCCAUAUGUGACAACUGAGCACUUAAAAUAUGGCUA